rnacentral:rRNA from 1 species
UACGGGGGGAGCAAGCGUUGUUCGGAUUUACUGGGCGUAAAGGGCGCGUAGGCGGCCAGCACAAGUCGGUUGUGAAAUCUCCGGGCUUAACUCGGAAAGGUCAACCGAUACUGGCGAGCUAGAGUGUGUCAGAGGAUGGUGGAAUUCCCGGUGUAGCGGUGAAAUGCGUAGAGAUCGGGAGGAACAUCAGUGGCGAAGGCGGCCAUCUGGGACAACACUGACGCUGAGGCACGAAAGCGUGGGGAGCAAACAGG